rnacentral:rRNA from 1 species
UACGUAGGGGGCAAGCGUUGUCCGGAAUCAUUGGGCGUAAAGCGCGUGUAGGCGGCUCGAUAAGUCUGCUGUGAAAAUCCAGGGCUCAACCCUGGGAUGCCGGUGGAUACUGUCGAGCUCGAGUCCGGAAGAGGCGAGUGGAAUUCCUGGUGUAGCGGUGAAAUGCGCAGAUAUCAGGAGGAACACCAAUGGCGAAGGCAGCUCGCUGGGACGUGACUGACGCUGAGACGCGAAAGCGUGGGGAGCAAACAGG